AGGAUCAACGCUGGCGGCGUGCCUAAUGCAUGCAAGUCGAACGUGCGGCCUUCGGGCCGAGGCGUGGCGGACGGGUGAGGAACGCGUGGGCAAUCUGCCCUACAGGUGGGGGGUAGCCUUCGGAAACGGAGGGUAAUUCCGCAUGUGCUCGACCGCUGAUGGGGUGGUUGAGGAAAGGGACUUCGGUCUCGCCUGAGGAGGAGCCUGCGGCCGAUUAGCUCGUUGGUGGGUAAUGGCUUACAAGGCGAUGAUCGGUAGC
rnacentral:rRNA from 1 species